UGAGGAAUCUGUCCAUCGGCGGGGGAUAGCCGGCCCAACGGCCGGGUAAUACCGCGUACGUCGGCGGGAGCGCAUGCUCCUGCCGGGAAAGCAGCAAUGCACCGAUGGAGGAUCUCGCGGCCUAUCAGCUUGUUGGUGAGGUCACGGCUCACCAAGGCGACGACGGGUAGCCGGCCUGAGAGGGCGAUCGGCUACACUGGGACUGAGACACGGCCCAGACCUCCGUAGGAGG
rnacentral:rRNA from 1 species